UGUAAUUAGGAAUUUGGUGUUCUUGUCGAUCUUGUCUGCUUUUGUCGUGGAUACUGCCUCUAAACUUCAGGUGGGUUGUAUUGCUGAUGCCUUGGAAUAUGUAUUUUGAUGUGAACUAAUGUCUCUUGUGUGUGCUCCAGUGUUGAUCUUUUGGGACUAAUUUGUUGUAACUGUUUAUACUGAUGCUUCAUUAGUUGCAUAAGCAUAUAUGAUUCUGUGAGCAAAUUAUCUUCACUGAUCUAUUUUAGAGAGAUGUCUGAUUAGCUGCACAAGCAUACAUGGUUCCGUAGGUAAUUUGUUUACCCUGAUCAUCUUGCUAUCCAGUUCUGUUGGUAUGGUCUGAAACAGAUUCACAAGUAUUUAUGAUGAUUGUUUGCAUGGUGGGUCAUGCUAGCAAUGUGCUUUGCAUAUACACGAUUCAAAUAUUUGUUAGGUGUUUUAGUUUACACAUUUCUCCUGAAAAUCUAUAUAUGUGUAUGCAGUCAUUUUUGAAUUGGCUAUGAUUCUUUUUAGUGUUUUAGUUUACACAUUUCUCUUGAGAAUCUUCAUAUCGAACUGUAAUAGUAUGUAUAAUAUAGGUUUGUAAUUUUUCCAUUACUUGGUUCUUGCCCAGGUCUUCUGUUUCUAUACCAUACUGUUCUCGUGUCAUUCCUGGUAGUUCUUGUAGGGCCUACAGAUCAGCUCAGUUUAUAUAUAUAUGCUUUUACUCCUGAAGACAGUUUAAUGAUGUUUAUUCUUCUAGUUUACGAAAAUCUCUGCCUUAUAGGGCCGGUUCAUAUUGACAUGGAGGAGGCAUAGAGGGUUAUUGCUUCUGUUUGUGGGCUGGCCUUGAGGGGGAGACCAAAGCAAACAUCAACAUGUUCAAGGUGCAUAUACUCUGCUACUUGUGUUCGUCUCCCUACCUAAUGUGGAGCAUUAUACAUUUUGCUCAAUAUAGUUAGUUACUUAGUUUACUGGAAGUUGUGAUAGUCAGAGCGCAUACAUGCUUGAUUUUACUUCAGUUAGUAGCUGUAUCCAGUAGGAACUUAUUUGCGAAAACUAGACCUGGAGAAAGUAUGCAGCCCUGUUUUGUGCAGAUAACUACUUUUGGUUACAUACUGUUGGCAAAUUUAGUAGGCUUAUACAAUAAGCUUCUUCAUUGAUUUUGUUAUUCGUAAACCUGUAGUUACGGAGAUCCAUGAGUUUCAUCGAACAUAUAAACGCUGGUGGGCAACCCGCCGUUCUAGGGGCCUUCGCGCGCGCACGAUCGCUGGCUGUUCGAUUAGCUUCUUUAAUCGUUUUUCAGCCUCGAAUUUUACCAUUCACUUCUAUCUUUUGUUACAACUUUGGCUGCUUUACCGGGUGGCUGCCAUUGGGCCCAUAAAAUCAUUGGUCCAUGCGGCAGCGGAGUGCUCGUCAACUCGGUCUGUGACCGCCCGUAAAAAAAACCUAGAUCGUCUAAUACUAUCUCUAUGGGGAUAUGUCUGAAGCUUCAGUAUGUUUUCCCCCUAACAGUAUUUAAUCUAACCAGUGGUGCAUCAGGUACUAGAUUGUGGUGAGAAAAUCGAACUACUCGUUGAUAAAGACAGCAUGCUCGCUCACAUGUAUUGUGGUUUCGCACUCAUAAAUCAGUACUUGGGCAUUGUCUUUGUUUUAUAUAUAUAAGAAUGUUAUCAUCAAAAACUGUAAUAUCUCUACUAAUAAACUUUAUGGAAGUGCACCACCAACUGAAUGAGGAGAGAGCUAUCUUCAACUGAUGAUUCCACCCCUUUUUACAUAACACUAGCUGCUGCACAGUAAAAAUUGUCUCGCAGAUGCUCUUUAUGACACAAACUGACAGAUUAAUGAGUGCACUCAUGGAGAACAUAACAAGGUAUUUUAGGAAGUGCUUGGACUAGGUUCAAAUUUUUGACAGUCUUAGGCUUUCUGAAAUACAGCCAUGGGAUGACCCGCCCUCCCGAGCGAUCGAGCGAUUUCACGUCGUUCUGGCCGUUUGAUCUCUCCUGGUCGGGUCAACGCGGCCUGUCGGCCGCCCCUUUUUUGCUGCAUGUUUUGACCGAGGGAAUCGAGUGUGGGCUACGAUGACUGGUGGGCUCGCCGGGUUCUUCCAUUGGCUGGGUUCGAAGUUCUCGUGUGCCCACUCCUAGCGCAUCGCGUGGCUCAUCCCGCGCUGACCGCGGCGUGCGUGUGUUCUGUACAAAGCUUGUUUAGUUCUCUAAAACCUGCACAUGUUAGAUACAGUUUGCGAGAACAUGUGCAGAUUUGUGAGAACUAAGAAAACUUUUCCCCAGAACAUGUCCAUUGAUAGUAAGAUCGUUUGCCAUAGUGAAAGGAGGCAAUGCGUUUGAUAUAGCUUGUCAUGAGAUAAUGAAACAAUAGUGUUUAUUUGGUCACCAGCAAGAUGAUGAUGUGAAGAAUGACUAUUUGCGUCUUUCAGAGUUUCUACCAUUAAAUAGUUUCCCAUAACAGAAUAUUUGCUAAUAUUGGUAGCUAAAAAUGAGAUACUUAUGCUUGUUGACGCUUUCCCUUUUUGUAGUAACAUCCAUGUGUCCAGCAUAUGUAGAAUAUUGGAUUUUUCUUGGCUAUUUAUUGUAGUUCGUUCUUAGGGUUUGGAAAAUUCUUUAGGUAUAUUCCUUGUCUCAAGCGAGCAUGAGUAAUAUCUUCUUUAUGCUGCGUGCCGCCAAGUUUCUCUAUUUUAGAUGGUAGUAUCUUUUCGCUUCUAGAAAGGGAUAUGUAUUUUAUUAAUCUGACUAUAAUUUGUGGUAGGUACAUACUGAAGGAUGUUCUGAGGCUAGCACCUGGUUUAGAAGUUUUGCAGUUCACAACAAUACCUCAUAAUUUUGAUUUGAUGUCCAGAAUGUCAACUGAGGAAUGAGCCUAUGAACUGCAUUGUAUUUUGUAAUAUAUCCUUAUAUAUGGUGCUUGUGGCAUUUUUUUUGCAAUUAUAAGUUUACAUUUAUGGGUAUUUACAGAGUCCCCCUUUCUUUUUCCACAAGUGGCAGUAGUUGUGCCAUUCGAUUUGAAGGACAAAGAGUUGAUCACAAAGGGGUAGCAUUCAGGAUAUAUACACAAGAGUAUAGAACCAAAUUAUAUGAUGUAAUUGACCACUAUUUCUAUUAACUUUUCUUGUACACAAUGUUCACGAGUUCGUGUACAUUUUAUUGUGUCACUUGUGUUUACUUUUUUUUAAUGCAAGUUUACAGCUACUCGGAGU
rnacentral:lncRNA from 1 species